AAACUCGGCAAAUUGAUACCGUAACUUCGGGAGAAGGUAUGCCCCGGUAGUGUGAGGCGCCUGCGCGCUGAGCAUGAUGGGGUCGCAGAGAAUCGGUGGCUGCGACUGUUUAUUAAAAACACAGCACUCUGCAAAGACGAAAGUCGACGUAUAGGGUGUGACGCCUGCCGGGUGCCGGAAGGUUAAGUGAUGGGGUGCAAGCUCUUGAUCGAAGCCCCGGUAAACGGCGGCCGUAACAGUAACGGUCCUAAGGUAGCGAAAUUCCUUGUCGGGUAAGUUCCGACCUGCACGAAUGGCGUAACGAUGGCCACACUGUCUCCUCCCGAGACUCAGCGAAGUUGAAGUGUUUGUGAUGAUGCAAUCUACCCGCGGCUAGACGGAAAGACCCCCAUGAACCUUUACUGUAGCUUUGCAUUGGACUGUGAACCGGCCUGUGUAGGAUAGGUGGGAGGCGCUGAAACCGAGUCGCUAGAUUCGGUGGAGCCAACCUUGAAAUACCACCCUGGUUUGUUUGCGGUUCUAACCUUGGUCCGUUAUCCGGAUUGGGGACAGUGCAUGGUGGGCAGUUUGACUGGGGCGGUCUCCUCCCAAAGCGUAACGGAGGAGUUCGAAGGUACGCUAGGUACGGUCGGAAAUCGUGCUGAUAGUGCAAUGGCAUAAGCGUGCUUGACUGUGAGACUGACAAGUCGAACAGGUGCGAAAGCAGGACAUAGUGAUCCGGUGGUUCUGAAUGGAAGGGCCAUCGCUCAACGGAUAAAAGGUACUCUGGGGAUAACAGGCUGAUACCGCCCAAGAGUUCAUAUCGACGGCGGUGUUUGGCACCUCGAUGUCGGCUCAUCUCAUCCUGGGGCUGUAGCCGGUCCCAAGGGUAUGGCUGUUCGCCAUUUAAAGAGGUACGUGAGCUGGGUUUAAAACGUCGUGAGACAGUUUGGUCCCUAUCUGCCGUGGGCGUUGGAUACUUGACGGAGCCUGCUCCUAGUACGAGAGGACCGGAGUGGACGUACCUCUGGUGUACCGGUUGUCAUGCCAAUGGCGUUGCCGGGUAGCUAUGUACGGAAGAGAUAACCGCUGAAGGCAUCUAAGCGGGAAACUCGUCUGAAGAUUAGGUAUCCCGGGGCCUCGAGCCCCCUGAAGGGUCGUUCAAGACCAGGACGUUGAUAGGUCAGGUGUGGAAGCGCAGUAAUGCGUUAAGCUAACUGAUACUAAUUGCCCGUGAGGCUUGAUCCG
rnacentral:rRNA from 1 species